rnacentral:rRNA from 1 species
UACGUAGGGUGCGAGCGUUAAUCGGAAUUACUGGGCGUAAAGCGUGCGCAGGCGGUUCGCCAAGUCAGGUGUGAAAUCCCCGGGCUUAACCUGGGAAUGGCAUUUGGGACUGCAAGGCUGGAGUGCGGCAGAGGAGACUGGAAUUCCUGGUGUAGCAGUGAAAUGCGUAGAUAUCAGGAGGAACACCGAUGGCGAAGGCAGGUCUCUGGGCUGACACUGACGCUCAUGCACGAAAGCGUGGGGAGCAAACAGG